AUUGAACGCUGGCGGCAGGCCUAACACAUGCAAGUCGAACGGUAGCACAGAGAGCUUGCUCUCGGGUGACGAGUGGCGGACGGGUGAGUAACGUCUGGGAAACUGCCUGAUGGAGGGGGAUAACUACUGGAAACGGUAGCUAAUACCGCAUAACGUCGCAAGACCAAAGUGGGGGACCUUCGGGCCUCACACCAUCGGAUGUGCCCAGAUGGGAUUAGCUAGUAGGUGGGGUAAUGGCUCACCUAGGCGACGAUCCCUAGCUGGUCUGAGAGGAUGACCAGCCACACUGGAACUGAGACACGGUCCAGACUCCUACGGGAGGCAGCAGUGGGGAAUAUUGCACAAUGGGCGAAAGCCUGAUGCAGCCAUGCCGCGUGUAUGAAGAAGGCCUUCGGGUUGUAAAGUACUUUCAGCGGGGAGGAAGGCGGUGAAGUUAAUAGCUUCACCGAUUGACGUUACCCGCAGAAGAAGCACCGGCUAACUCCGUGCCAGCCGCCGCUGUAA
rnacentral:rRNA from 1 species